GAACUUGCAACAUAAAUGUACAGAAUUUUGCAGUUAGUGAAACUUGCAAAAUUAAUGUGCAGCAAGUAGUGGUACUAGCAAUUUUUUUGAUAGACGGUUUUUGGCUUACGUUCACGUUGUGUCUAUCGUUAACAAUGAUUGUUAUAUAGUUUCAUUACUGGAAACUUAUCUCAUUAACUAAAAUCCAAAACACAUAAUUGUUGUUUGAAAUCAUAUAUAAAUGUAUAAAAAAAUUUUUUAGUCGGAGGGGGGAUUUGUCAUCUUCCUCAGCAAAUAUGAAGACUGGUGCAUCUUGUAAUACUACUACUCAAAUUAGGUCAGAAGGGGUAACCGCUACUCCCUUCUUCAAAAAUAAAUACUCUGAUGCAUCUUGUAAUACUACUAUUGUAAUAUGGUCAGAGGGGGAGGGAUACGCCCUUUUCUCAUGUCUUUGUGUACACCACUACUUUUUAUUUUAAAGAUGUAGAAAAAAGUUAUUCAUUUUGUAAACUUGAUCUAUUGUAUGUAUAUUUUGAAAUAAA